rnacentral:rRNA from 1 species
AAAUCUAAGCCCUGGAUUACUUGGUUGAUGAAGAAAGUAGUCAACUUUUAGACUUGAUGUGAAUUGCAGGACACACUGAACACUGAUUUUUCAAUUGAAAAUUGCAGUUUAAUCCCAUUUGGGAGUAU